rnacentral:rRNA from 1 species
UACAGAGGGGGCAAGCGUUAUUCGGAAUUAUUGGGCGUAAAGAGCUCGUAGGCGGCUUGUCGCGUCGGAUGUGAAAGCCCGGGGCUUAACUCCGGGUCUGCAUUCGAUACGGGCAGGCUAGAGUUCGGUAGGGGAGAUCGGAAUUCCUGGUGUAGCGGUGAAAUGCGCAGAUAUCAGGAGGAACACCGGUGGCGAAGGCGGAUCUCUGGGCCGAUACUGACGCUGAGGAGCGAAAGCGUGGGGAACGAACAGG